GAUGAACGCUGGCGGCGUGCUUAACACAUGCAAGUCGAACGAUGAAGCCCAGCUUGCUGGGUGGAGUAGUGGCGAACGGGGGAGUAACACGUGAGUAACCCGUCCUUGACUCUGGGAUAAGCCUGGGAAAAUGUGGCUAAUACUGGAUAUGACUUCUCAUCGCAUGGUGGGGGUUGGAAAGAUUUAUUUGCCUUGGAUGGACUCGCGGCCUAUCAGCUUGUUGGUGAGGUAAUGGCUCACCAAGGCGACGACGGGUAGCCGGCCUGAGAGGGUGACCGGCCACACUGGGACUGAGACACGGCCCAGACUCCUACGGGAGGCAACAGUGGGGAAUAUUGCACAAUGGGCGCAAGCCUGAUGCAGCGACGCCGCGUGUGGGAUGACGGCCUUCGGGUUGUAAGCCUCUUUCAGUAGGGAAGAAGCGUGAGUGACGGUACCUGCAGAAGAAGCGCCGGCUAACUACGUG
rnacentral:rRNA from 1 species